rnacentral:rRNA from 1 species
UACAGAGGGUGCGAGCGUUGUUCGGAAUUAUUGGGCGUAAAGGGCGCGUAGGCGGUGCCACAAGUCACUUGUGAAAUCUCCGAGCUUAACUCGGAGCCUGCAGGCGAAACUGUGGUGCUGGAGUGUGGGAGAGGCGCGUGGAAUUGCAGGUGUAGCGGUGAAAUGCGUAGAUAUCUGCAGGAACACCCGUGGCGAAAGCGGCGCGCUGGACCACUACUGACGCUGAGGAACGAAAGCUAGGGGAGCAAACAG